AUGGAGCCGCUGCACUACCCCGCGGUGGCGAUAGGGACUGCAGAGCUACCCCCAUGGCGACAGCCAGCGCCGAUAGGCAGAUGUGUGUGGCGGAAGGCGGGCUCGCAACGGAUGGGGAUGCUGAGCCGCAAGCAUGUGAGCAGGCUGGACUCGCAGGUUAGGAUUGGAGCUGCUGCUCCAGGAAGGGCACCUUGCCCUAGGCGAACCAACACUCUUGAGAAGGCAAUAUGGGGGUUCGCUGACAAACCGGGCGACAUUGUAAUCAUGCUUGCACUGGGUACAAGCUUUGACACACUCGGGGAGGCCUAUGAUUUUUCCAAUCUCUACUCGUGGGAGAAGGGAUUUGGAAUAAGAUACAGGAAGAGUAUACUGAAUGUGGAGAGGACAAAAUGCAUGCAGGAAAUUGUUUGCGGCUGUGCGGGUAAAGCUGGGGUGGAGAACAGUAGAUCGUGCCAUGACUGCCCUGCAUUAAUAAGGUUGCUCCGCUCAAAGGCAAUGGUUGGUACAUAG
rnacentral:rRNA from 1 species